AAACAAAUCUACGAUGGUCUACGAUGACUGAAAACUAUGAUCGGCAUAUAAAAUAAGAAAGUUGUAUUCAUUUAUGAGAAAAAACGGAGAACUGUAGAAAAAAUGUUGCCGGGGUCCCUCGAACAUCCCUUUCUAGACGCGUUGAUGUUCUUCAUUUCGUUGCCGGAAAUGUCUAUUUUGAUGUCGAUGAUCGGCCUCGUCUUGAAGAGCAGGGCUCUGUCGGAAUCGUAGGCGCCGACUAGCAGAUCCGGGUAGCCAUUGUUGUCCAUAUCCAAGCCGCCGCUCAACGAGUAUCCGAAAGUUGUCUACCCUUGCAAUAUUGUAAGCUCUCCGUGGCCUUGAGGUCGCUAUCCAGCAAAUAGCAGAACCCUUGACCGAAGUGAAAUUUGCUCAGGUCCGGACUUUGGAUGUAGCGAUGAGCGCAGACGAUCACCAAACCGCC